rfam:Salmo salar isolate Sally breed double haploid chromosome ssa11, whole genome shotgun sequence.
UGCACUCACUACUGUAAGUCGCUCUGGAUAAGAGCGUCUGCUAAAUGUCCUAAU